rnacentral:rRNA from 1 species
AUUGAACGCUGGCGGCAUGCCUAACACAUGCAAGUCGAACGGUAACAGGCCGCUGGGAUCCCUUCGGGGUGACCUUGGCGCUGACGAGUGGCGGACGGGUGAGUAAUGCGUAGGAAUUUGCCUCAAAGUGGGGGACAGCCCGAAGAAAUUCGGAUUAAUACCGCAUGUGCUCUACGGAGGAAAGCGGGCCUCUACUUGUAAGCUCGCGCUUUGAGAUAAGCCUACGUCGGAUUAGCUUGUUGGUGGGGUAAAGGCCUACCAAGGCGACGAUCCGUAGCUGGUCUGAGAGGAUGAUCAGCCACACUGGGACUGAGACACGGCCCAGACUCCUACGGGAGGCAGCAGUGGGGAAUAUUGGACAAUGGGGGCAACCCUGAUCCAGCCAUGCCGCGUGUGUGAAGAAGGCCCUAGGGUUGUAAAGCACUUUCAGUGGGGAGGAAAAGCUGCCGGUUAAUACCCGGUAGCCGUGACGUUACCCACAGAAGAAGCACCGGCUAACUCCGUG